UUCCAUUUCAUUUUCAUUAUUUCAUUUCAUCAUUUCAUUUCACUAUUUCAUUUCAUUUCAUCUAAUUUCAUUUAAUUCAUUAUGUCAUUUCAUAUAAUCUCAUUUCAUUUCAUCUCAUAUUUUUGAUAUCAUUUUUCAUCUCAUUUCAUCUCAAUUCAUCUCAUCAUUUCAUCUCCUCAUCUCAUCAUUUCCUCCUUUCAUUACAACAUUUCAUCUCAUCUCAUAUUUUUGAUAUCAUUUUUCAUCUCAUUUCAUCUCAAUUCAUCUCAUCAUUUCAUCUCCUCAUCUCAUCAUUUCCUCCUUUCAUUACAACAUUUCAUCUCAUUUCUUCUCAUCUCAUUUCAAUUUCAUUAUUUCAUCUCAUUUCAUUAUUUCACCUAAUUUCAUUAUUUCAUCUCAUCUCAUCUCAGUUCAUCUGAUCUCAUUUCAUCUCAGCAUUUCAUC
rnacentral:lncRNA from 1 species